CCUAGAGAUGCUGCCUGGCCUGCUGCGUUCACCAGCAUUUUUUGUGUGUAUUGAGAGAUACUGCCUCGCAGUUCCAGGGACCUGAGUUCAAUCAGUGCUGUCUGUGUGGAGUUUGCAUGUUCUCCCUGUGUCCUCUUUGGUUUCUUCAGGGUGCUCAGAUUUCCUCCCCCAUCACAAAGAUGUGCUGCCAGGUUAAUUAGCUGCGAGGGUUUGUUUUCCAGCAGCAUGAGUCAGGAUACUUAGGAGAAGAGGGUGUCUGCUGUUACAGGUACAGGAAGGUGCAGAAAAUUCUCCAUCAACAAUCAGAAGUGCACCUUAAGGAGUUAACCAAGAUGCCUCUUGGAAGAGAUUUCACAGACAUCAUAUAUCUAGAGGAACACACGCAAAAUGCUCAAGGAACUCAGCAGGUCAGUUAGCACCUAUAGAAGGGAAUAAACAGACAAUGUUUCAAGCCGAGACCCUUCACUGGAACCUCUUAAAAGCUCCUGGGGCACGCUGCCAGGGGAGGUGAUGGAAGUGGAUACAUUUAAGAGAUGUUUAAACAGACACAUGAA